CUUUCCUUCCAUCUCAAGCCUGAUCAUACCUCUCUUUUCUCUCACGCUCUCCGUCUCUCACGGCCUCACUUUCUCUCCCUCAAACCUCUCAAUUUUCUCACCCAAAACCUGAAACAACUCGUCCAUGUUGCCUCUGGUACCUUAAACAUAUGGUCUGGGCAAGAAUAUCACUGAAACCUGAACCAAAACGCCAUGUUCAAUGCCCUGUACGAACUCUGGCGAACAUCUUGAACCUGUAACUGCCUCUUUCUCUCAGCUUGUGAAGACCCAGCUUGCAAAACCACCACUAUCGAGUUCUUGAGGCCGAGACGAAGCCGUCCCAGUACCCAUAUCCACCCGCCGCCGCGCCUGCCGCCGCCUGCCACCAUCUUCUCCGGCGAGCUUCGCCAGAGAAAGUUCCAGAACUCUAUCAGGAGAAUCGACCUUUGGCUUUUCUCUCAAGCAUAGAUGUCGACGCCUUACCCGACCAGGAUGGACCUUCCAGUACGGACUAUCGUUGAAGUGUUCGUGAGUCCCGAUGGAUGGAGUGUAACAUUGGCAGCUAGUACGAUUCAGCUGAGAGGAGAUGGACCAGGAGUAGGACUGACACGACCAUGACCAACCCACUGACACAACCAUGACCAACCCAAUGACACGACCAUGACCAACCCUCUUCUAGAUGACUCUAUACCUGUUAAUGAUUCCCCAUCCAUUUUAUCCUUGACCAGACUUGAUGUUACCCCCUUUAUGUAUAAAAUGAAGUGAAGACGUAUCACUUGCUACUAUGGGAGGUUCCCUGUAAUAUAGCUCAAUCCUUAUGAUGUAUGAUAUCGAAUAAAUAAGCGAGUGAUGUAAUAUAAGUGAGUGUUUCUCAAACUAUGACGCUAU